ensembl:lncRNA
GCCAUGAUCAUUCCUCCGGAAUAUCCUCGCCGCACAGAAAGGACAUCAACAGUUGCCUGAUCGUGCCAGAUUAAUUUCAACGUCACCCGCAUUCGUUUAGGAUGGACUGGGACUAUAAAACAGCGGGGACAGAUGCCGGCUGUUAUUGAGUUCACUUGCUGUGGGAUCCAAAAGUCUGAGACCACAUUGAAAAUUGGUCAGCAGGAUAACGUGCGAAUGUGCAGCCCUGUUGCUUUUAACACAUGUGGAGCGAAUGGAGGCGACCUGUGGAGGCCACUGGCUGUGAACAGCGGCGUGUGACUGUGAGCAGACAGACUCUGUUGCUGCUGUCAGGUGGAGGGUGAAUAACGUGUUAACGACUUAAACCAGCGGAGAGCGAGUGUGAGGACGACCGGAGAGCCAGGCGAGAGGACAGAGGCGGUGGAGUAAGAAUCCACACUGCCCAUCUGUAUCUAGGCCACAGACUGAGAACAGCGAGGGUCCUCGAGGGAGGAUAAACAUGCAGCUCGCCGUACAACAACAACAAGCAGUGGAAUGGACCUGCUAGAAAACACAGUCUAAUGCAAUCAUGACCAUGAAUUAGCAACAAAAAAUGUGAUUCUGUUUACUUUCUGAAUGCACAGUGAUCUUUUUAUGAACGAUUCAUAGGUGCAUGUUAUUCCAAAAACGUGAUGUCAAAAAAUCAGGGUUAUUAAACUAAAACCAAAACCAU